rnacentral:rRNA from 1 species
GAUGAACGCUGGCGGCGUGCUUAACACAUGCAAGUCGAACGAAGCACUUUAUCUGAUUUCCUUCGGGAAUGAAGAUUUAGUGACUGAGUGGCGGACGGGUGAGUAACGCGUGGAUAACCUGCCUCAUACAGGGGGAUAACGGCCGGAAACGGCUGCUAAUACCGCAUAAGCGCACGGUACCGCAUGGUACGUGUGAAAAACUCCGGUGGUAUGGGAUGGAUCCGCGUCUGAUUAGCCAGUUGGCGGGGUAACGGCCCACCAAAGCGACGAUCAGUAGCCGACCUGAGAGGUGACCGGCCACAUUGGGACUGAGACACGGCCCAAACUCCUACGGGAGGCAGCAGUGGGGAAUAUUGCACAAUGGGGGGAAACCCUGAUGCAGCGACGCCGCGUGAGCGAA